rnacentral:lncRNA from 10 species
GGCUCCUUUCCUUAUAUGUCUAACCCUGGCCUGGAGCACUGGAGGAUGAGGUCCGCUGACUGCAGCGUCCAUCCUGGUCCUCCCCAGGCACUGUGGCCUCCCUCACAGCAUGGCUGCCUUGGGUACUCGGACUUCACGUGGAAGGCCAGGGCUCCGAGAGCAAAUGCCCCAGCAAGACAGAAGCUCAGCCGCCUUUGAUGACCUAGAAGCUAGGCAGCAUCCAUUGUACUGCCUUCUAUGGGUUGUGAGUGAGUCCCAAACCUGCCUUGACUCAAGGAAACGGAAUUAGGCUCUACGUCUUGACUAGGUAGUGGCGAAGUUCUGGAAGCACAUGAGUAGGAGAUACUGUGACGGUUUCAUCUUUGGAAAAUACCAUCUAGCACACCUGAAUCUGCUUUCAGGGGGUGUAAGGGGAUUUCCAUGGCAAAAUUUGAAGCCACAUGUGGUCACUGCUUUGUACUGAGGAAACAAAGUGCUCUGGGCAUCCAGAAAGGGGGUACGUUUUUUCUUACUGGGAUAAAUCUGGCUGCAUUUUAGCUAAUCCUGGAAAAUUGAUCGACAAAAGCAAAGGACCAAGAAAGCUGCUUAUAUCAGUGUCUCCUCCACCCUCAGCCUCCAGUAGCAUCCCUACGUUUUACAAUUUUAUUUAUGUCACUUUAAAUAAGGACAUUGAGAGGGAAAAGGCCUCAUCGACAUACCAACUACAGGCCAGGUGGACCUUCGGUGCACACACACCCCAGCGCCCACAGAGAUCCAGGCCUCCUGUGUAUGAAUGUGUGCCAUGAAUUUAGACCUAUUUCUCGCCUUCCGGGCUCUCUAUUCCUCAUCCUCCAUCCAAGUGGCCAUCUUGUGCAGGCCCUGAAAGCAGCAGAUCUCACCUGCAUUGGAGGAUGAGACGCCACAUGAAGAAGAAAGAAGACGCCACAGACAGCAGCGCAGUACCACCUUCCAGAGAUGUGAGUGUGACCGUCUUUGACCUUCUAGCCCAGCUGCUUUCCCUGAAUGCAAUGCAUGAGCAGGCCAGGCAAAACUAGAGAGGGAAGCUGCCCAGCUAACCCACAGAAUUAUGAGAGAUAAAAAAUCAUUGUCUUAAGCCACUAAGUCUGUUAUGCAGCAAUAUAUAGCAUUCAUUCAACUUUUGUCUCAUGAAUACUCUCAUUUCUUUUAUAAGUUCUUUUGUGGUUCAAAUUAGCUCAAAUCAGUUUCUGAUGCUUAUGACCAAAUGCCCCUAUGUGAUAGAUUUUGAGGGGUUAAGAAGCUUGCUCGGAUCACACAGCGGUAAGUAGCAGCACUUCAUCUUUAACCCACCUCUGGCCCACUCCCUUUCCAUAGGUCCUUGUUGCCUCCCUCCCUAAUCCCUUCCAGUCUAGUUUCCUCACUCAUUUUAGCAUCUUGAAGAUGCCUGACCUUUUGUAACAGGCACUUAGAAGAGGCAAUAAUCAAGCUGUGAGCUGGAAUACUGGGUUUCUCAUCCAAUAACCAGGUUGGCAGGUUGGUAACCAUACAAGGGACUUUUCAAACUGGAGAAUUAGUGUGCUGAGCACAAAGUGGUGAGUAUUUUGAGAGUUACUGAAAUAUAAUUGACAUAACAAUAAAAAUACAAUAUUUAAGUGCAUGUAUUUCAAGUGUACGAUUUGACAAGUUUGGUUAUAUUAUAUACACCUACGAAACCAUCACCACAAUUAAGAAAAUGAGCAUAGCUAUCACACACAAAAGUUUCCUUGUGCCCCUUGGUAAUUCCUCCCUCUCUCCUGCCCACAUCUCUCCUUUUCCCAGGCAAUCCCUGAUCUGAUUUCUGCCGCUAUCAAUUCGUUUGCAUUUCCUAGAAUUUUAAAUAACUGAAAACAUACAUUAAGAACUCUUUUUCUCUGGCCGAGUAUGGUGGCUCACGCCUGUAAUCCCAGCACUUUGGGUGGCCAAGGCGGGCAGAUCACCUGAGGUCAGGAGUUCGAGACCACCCUGGCCAACGUGGUGAAACCCUGUCUCUACUAAACAUACAAAAAUUAGCCAGGCAUGGUAAUGGGCAUCUGUAAUCCCAGCUACUCGCGAGGCUGAGGCAGGAGAAUUGCUUGAACCUGGGAGACAGAGGUUGCAGUGGGCUGAGAUCACGCCACUGCACUCCAGCAUGGACAACAGAGCGAGACUCCGUCCCC